UACGUAGGGUGCGAGCGUUAACCGGAAUUACUGGGCGUAAAGCGUGCGCAGGCGGUUUUGUAAGCCAGAUGUGAAAGCCCCGGGCUUAACCUGGGAAUGGCAUUUGGGACUGCAAGGCUUGAGUGCGGCAGAGGAGACUGGAAUUCCUGGUGUAGCAGUGAAAUGCGUAGAUAUCAGGAGGAAUACCGAUGGCGAAGGCAGGUCUCUGGGCUGACACUGACGCUCAUGCACGAAAGCGUGGGGAGCAAACAGG
rnacentral:rRNA from 1 species